UACGGGGGGUGCAAGCGUUACUCGGAAUCACUGGGCGUAAAGGACGCGUAGGCGGAUUAUCAAGUCUUUUGUGAAAUCUAGUGGCUUAACCACUAAACUGCUUAGGAAACUGAUAGUCUAGAGUAGGGGAGAGGUAGAUGGAAUUCUUGGUGUAGGGGUAAAAUCCGUAGAGAUCAAGAAGAAUACCCAUUGCGAAAGCGAUCUGCUGGAACCUAACUGACGCUGAGGCGUGAAAGCGUGGGUAGCAAACAGG
rnacentral:rRNA from 2 species